UACGAAGGGGGCUAGCGUUGCUCGGAAUCACUGGGCGUAAAGCGCACGUAGGCGGAUCUUUAAGUCAGGGGUGAAAUCCCAAGGCUCAACCUUGGAACUGCCCUUGAUACUGGGGAUCUCGAGUCUGGAAGAGGUUGGUGGAACUCCGAGUGUAGAGGUGAAAUUCGUAGAUAUUCGGAAGAACACCAGUGGCGAAGGCGGCCAACUGGUCCGGCACUGACGCUGAGGUGCGAAAGCGUGGGGAGCAAACAGG
rnacentral:rRNA from 1 species